CGGACGGGUGAGUAACACGUGGAUAACCUACCUAUAAGACUGGGAUAACUUCGGGAAACCGGAGCUAAUACCGGAUAAUAUAUUGAACCGCAUGGUUCAAUAGUGAAAGACGGUUUUGCUGUCACUUAUAGAUGGAUCCGCGCCGCAUUGGCUAGUUGGUAAGGUAACGGCUUACCAAGGCAACGAUGCGUAGCCGACCUGAGAGGGUGAUCGGCCACACUGGAACUGAGACACGGUCCAG
rnacentral:rRNA from 1 species